rnacentral:rRNA from 1 species
CCUACGGGAGGCAGCAGUGAGGAAUAUUGGUCAAUGGGCGAGAGCCUGAACCAGCCAAGUAGCGUGAAGGAUGAAGGUCCUACGGAUUGUAAACUUCUUUUAUACGGGAAUAAAGUAUCCUACGUGUAGGAUUUUGUAUGUACCGUAUGAAUAAGCAUCGGCUAACUCCGUGCCAGCAGCCGCGGUAAU